GACGAACCGGACAAACGUUAUUCGGAAUUACUGGGCUUAAAGGGUUUGUAGGCGGCCUUGUAAGUCAGGUGUGAAAUCCCUCGGCUCAACCGAGGAAUAGCGCUUGAUACUGCAAGGCUUGAGGGAGACAGGGGUAAGCGGAACUGAUGGUGGAGCGGUGAAAUGCGUUGAUAUCAUCAGGAACACCGGUGGCGAAGGCGGAUCUCUGGGCCAUUACUGACGCUGAGGAGCGAAAGCGUGGGGAGCGAACAGG
rnacentral:rRNA from 1 species